AUGGGUUUGGGUGGGGGUCCUCUGGUGCUGGGGUCCCCGUGCGUCCUCCUGCCUCCUCUGCGGCGGUGGCUGGGGGGGAGGUGGUGCCACCACGCCUGCCACCUUCCGUCUGUCCUUCCUGGUGGUGGCACCUGCCCUGCUCGUGGCAGCACGGGGCUGGGCCCUGCUGGGAGCAGCUCCCGUGACGCUAGAGGGCAGGGCCAGCCCUGCUCAGCACCGCGGCUCAGCACCCACAGUCAGUGCCAGCACCGGGGUGAGGUCCUGGUGACCCCCCCAGCACCCCGAGGCACACGGGCUCUGGUUUGUACUGGGAUUUCAGACAUCUUCAAGCCCUUCCGCACUCAGGCAGGGGGGUCCUGCAGGAGCCAGGGUGCUGUCUGCACCCCAAAAGCGUCCCCAGCACCCCGCUGCGGUUGCCAUGGGGCUGGGGUUCCGGGGGUUGCUGUGGGAGCAGCGUGGGGGUGUUGGGCUGCGGCCAGGAGAAGGGGACGCCAACCACCCAGCGAGGCCAAUUUCAGGCAGCUGCCCAGCCCAGCAUGGAGCCCGUCACCCCCCUUCUCUUCUCCAUCCUCCUGUGCCUCUGCUUGCUGCUCCUGGGCCCGUAAGUCCCCUCACGGCAGCGUGCCGAGCCCCAUCCUGCCCACACGGGGUGACAGAGCCACCCUUCCACAUCAGCAUCCUGCAGAUGUUGGAGCUGGGCAUCAGCUCUGCCAUCCCCGAGCUGCUUCUUCCCCCAUGCCCACCUGCCCCUGGGCCUGGGCACCCCACUGCCUGCUCGCUCCCGACCUCCCCUCGCUCCUGCUGCAGGUGCAGCUGGCUGGCUCUGCGCGUCCUGCUGCUGCUCCCCAUCUCCAGCACCAUCUUCCUCAUCUCCAUCCUGGCUGCCACCUGCCUCAUCCUGCUCAGCAUCGCCCGCCUGGAGCUCCCCCAGCCAGGGACCUGGGAGGACGUCCUGCAGCUCUGUGGCACAGCGAUUCGGCAUCCCUGGUGCAGGUGCCAGCGUCCCCGCCAGCAGCACAUCAUCUACUGCUCCCACUGCGACGGCUACGUGAAGGUGAGGGACACGGGGUGCCCGGGGUGCCACGCACCACAGCCCCGCUGCCCAAACCCUGCACCCUGAGGGUCGCAGUGCGCUGCACCACGACCGUCCCGCUGCCCUGCGUCCCCCACCCGCUGCUCAGCCCCCUGAGCCCAUCGCCCUGGGGAAGAGCCGCACGUAUCCCUUGGCCUGGAGAGGCCGAGCCCUGCCCUGACGUGCACACACACGUGCUGCACGCCCCGCGGUGCCGCCCGGGUUGGCACAUGCUGGAGCCUGCUCCCCUUGGCGCACGUAGCCCCGGGGCCGGCAGUGGGGCUGGCUCCUGGUCCCUGCCUGGCUCUGCAGCAUCGCCGUGACCUUCCUCACUGCUCCCUGCCCAAAUCUGCUCAUGUCCUGGGCCUCCCUGUGUCCCCCGAGCACAGCACACGGUGCCAGGUACAGCCACAGGGUGCUCCACCAGGCUCCGUCAUCCCCCGUGUCCCCACAGGCUGCUGCUGCAGGCAAGGGCAGGCAGGACGGGCAGGAGCCAAAGGCAG
rnacentral:lncRNA from 1 species